UACGAAGGGGGCUAGCGUUGCUCGGAAUCACCGGGCGUAAAGGGCGCGUAGGCGGCGCGGUAAGCGUGCGGUGAAAGUCCGGGGCUCAACCCCGGAUCGGCCGUGCGGACUGCCGGGCUUGAGCACUGUAGGGGCGGGUGGAACUCCGGGUGUAGCGGUGGAAUGCGUAGAGAUCCGGAAGAACACCGGUGGCGAAGGCGGCCCGCUGGGCAGUGACUGACGCUGAGGCGCGACAGCGUGGGGAGCAAACAGG
rnacentral:rRNA from 1 species